AUUGAACGCUGGCGGCAGGCCUAACACAUGCAAGUCGAACGGUAGCACAGAGAGCUUGCUCUCGGGUGACGAGUGGCGGACGGGUGAGUAACGUCUGGGAAACUGCCCGAUGGAGGGGGAUAACUACUGGAAACGGUAGCUAAUACCGCAUAACGUCGCAAGACCAAAGUGGGGGACGUUCGGGCCUCACACAAUCGGAUGUGCCCAGAUGGGAUUAGCUAGUAGGUGGGGUAAUGGCUCACCUAGGCGACGAUCCCUAGCUGGUCUGAGAGGAUGACCAGCCACACUGGAACUGAGACACGGUCCAGACUCCUACGGGAGGCAGCAGUGGGGAAUAUUGCACAAUGGGCGCAAGCCUGAUGCAGCCAUGCCGCGUGUAUGAAGAAGGCCUUCGGGUUGUAAAGUACUUUCAGCGGGGAGGAAGGCGAUGAAGUUAAUAACUUCACCGAUUGACGUUACCCGCAGAAGAAGCACCGGCUAACUCCGUGCCAGCCGCCGCCGUAA
rnacentral:rRNA from 1 species